rnacentral:rRNA from 1 species
GGGUCUGAGAGGAUGAUCCGCCACACUGGAACUGGAACACGGACCAGACUCCUACGGGAGGCAGCAGUGAGGAAUAUUGCGCAAUGGGGGCAACCCUGACGCUGCGACGCCGCGUGAGUGAGGAAGGUUUUCGGAUCGUAAAGCUCUGUCAGAAGGGAAGAAAUGUUAUAUGGUUAAUACCCAUAUAAUUUGACGGUACCUUCAGAGGAAGCACCGGCUAACUCCGUGCCAGCAGCCGCGGUAAUACGGAGGGUGCAAGCGUUGUUCGGAAUUACUGGGCGUAAAGGGCGCGUAGGCGGCUUUAUAAGUCAGAUGUGAAAGUCCACGGCUCAACCGUGGAAGUGCAUUUGAAACUGUGAGGCUUGAGUAUCGGAGGGGAGUGUGGAAUACCCGGUGUAGAGGUGAAAUUCGUAGAGAUCGGGAGGAACACCUGUGGCGAAGGCGACACUCUGGACGAAUACUGACGCUGAGGCGCGAAAGCGUGGGGAGCAAACAGGGUUAGAUACCCUGGUAGUCCACGCCGUAAACGAUGAGAACUAGGGGUAGGGGGUGUUGAUCCCUCCUGUCCCGCAGCUAACGCAUUAAGUUCUCCGCCUGGGGAGUACGGUCGCAAGAUUAAAACCCAAAGGAAUUGACGGGGGCCCGCACAAGCGGUGGAGUAUGUGGUUUAAUUCGACGCAACGCGAAGAACCUUACCUGGACUUGACAUCCCGAGAAUCUCCUGGAAACAGGAGAGUGCGUCAUCAGAUGAACUCGGUGACAGGUGCUGCAUGGCUGUCGUCAGCUCGUGUCGUGAGAUGUUGGGUUAAGUCCCGCAACGAGCGCAACCCCUGUCUUUAGUUGCCAUCAUUAAGUUGGGCACUCUAGAGAGACUGCCGGUGUCAAACCGGAGGAAGGUGGGGAUGACGUCAAGUCCUCAUGGCCUUUAUGUCCAGGGCUACACACGUACUACAAUGGUCGAUACAAAGGGCAGCGACUUAGCGAUGAGAAGCUAAUCCCAUAAAAUCGGUCUCAGUCCGGAUUGGAGUCUGCAACUCGACUCCAUGAAGUUGGAAUCGCUAGUAAUCGUGGAUCAGCAUGCCACGGUGAAUACGUUCCCGGGCCUUGUACACACCGCCCGUCACACCACGGAAGUUGGUUGUUCCAGAAGUAGUUGAGCUAACCCUCGGGAGGCAGGCUACCAAGGAAUGGCUGGUAACUC